AUACCAGCUCCGCGAGUAGUCGGGACGAUUAUUGGGCCUAAAGCGUUCGUAGCCGGUCUUACAAGUCUCUGGUUAAAUUUCGAGGCUUAACCUUGAGCGUGCUGGAGAUACUGUUAGACUAGGGGGCGGGAGAGGUUGAGGGUACUUCACGGGUAGGGGCGAAAUCCUAUAAUCCGUGAAGGACCACCAGUGGCGAAGGCGCUCAACUGGAACGCGCCCGACGGUGAGGGACGAAAGCCAGGGGAGCAAAGGGGAUUAGAUACCCCCGUAGUCCUGGCUGUAAACGAUGCGGGCUAGGUGUUGGGUUGGCUUCGUGCCAACCCGGUGCCGCAGCGAAGGCGAUAAGCCCGCCGCCUGGGAAGUACGGCUGCAAGGCUGAAACUUAAAUGAAUUGGCGGGG
rnacentral:rRNA from 1 species